rnacentral:rRNA from 1 species
CCCUUAGAUGUUCUGGGCCGCACGCGUGCUACACUGAGUAAUUCAAUGGGUAAGGGAACGCUAGAGCAUUACCUAAUCUUGAAAUUUGCUCGUGAUGGGGAUCGACGGUUGCAAUUUUCCGUCGUGAACGAGGAAUACCUUGUAGGCGCAUGUCAUCAUCAUGCGCCGAAUACGUCCCUGCCCUUUGUACACACCGCCCGUCGCUCCUACCGAUUGAGUGAUCCGGUGAGGCUCUGGGACCUGGACGGAAAGAGCGUUUCGCUUGUUCUGUUUGGGAAACUUGGUCGAACCUUAUCAUUUAGAGGAAGGAGAAGUCGCAACA